rnacentral:lncRNA from 1 species
AUAAGUUAGAAAAUUAGAGAUUAUAAACAAUAUCUGGCAUCUAUUGCCAUCAGGAUGAAAUUUCAGCUUUCAUAAGUCAGCAACAUACUAAAAAACUCAGGCUAUUAAAAUCUGAGAUGAGAGCAUGGCAAAAUGUAAUCCAAGACAGCAGAAAGCAAAUGACAACCAGCACAGACCUCCACACCUGGAAUUCUUUGAUUCCUACCGUUAACUCGCAAACCACGCACAGCUAGUUUAAGUAUUGCAAAACACACCAAUGUGGUUUAAGAGCUUCAUAUUCCCACCCCAAACAAAAUACUCGUACUCUACGUAGACAGAAGCAGUGAGGGACUUGCUUUGCUUGGGUUUGUAGCACAAGGUGCUGGGAACAAGAUUUCUUUCUUUGUAGUGCACUUUGCUGAUCACUCUAAAAACUUCUGUUCAGUCUUGGGAAUAAUCUGGAAGCUGAAGUAUUCUACAGAGCAUUCUUGUUGACAUUUCCAAGAAUGCCGGCCUCAUUUCUUCCACAGCAAAAUAUAAUGUUAAGCUGCCAGCCUGAUGUCAUCUUUGUUGACAUCUGAAGUCAACAGCCUGGAAAAUGCACAGUAGGGUCCUCCUUGGAUGCCUGAGGCUUUUGCUUUUGUUCAGGGCCUCUUCCCCUACAUCAGCGUGCUGCAUCAGCAAUGGGUACCACUGCCGAUGGCAUACCUGCCACCAUCUGCUUCCACUGUUUACAGAACAAUGUCCCUUGCAGUCUUUCCACCCCAAUCUUCCCACUUCUACCGAGUCCCCUCCAUUCAGGACUAACAGACUUGCAAUAGAAACCUGCAGAAAACACAAGACCUGCAGCUGCGGAGCGAGCAGAGCAAGCUGUUGGCAAUAAGCCUGCCCUGUGGCAUGCUUUUCAGAAGACGUUGCUGGUGGAAAAGUUCCCAAACCAUCCACUUGAGCUGGGCGUGCCUUCAGCAGAGAGCUUCACAAGAUGGCCUCCAGAAGUCCCUUCCACAUCACGUGCUUCUCUGAUUCCAAGAACUUCAGAUGCUGAUGAUUAUCAAAAUUCCAAUUUCAGACACGACCACAACUCGGACAAUCCAGAGGUCUUAGGAAAAGUCAAUUAUAUUGAAGUCCUUAACAAACAUAACUGAAUGAGCAGUUCUACAAUCAGAAAGCAACUCUAUUUGGAUUCACUUCAGAGGAUUCAAAGGUCCAACAAACACCAUCACCUACGUGAUCCUUACAUAAGAAAUACAUCAGUGGAAGGUACUCCAGAGAUCAACUGGUAAAAUAUAGUCUUUCAUCAUUGUUAUAGGGUGCUUCUGACAGUAUGCUGAACCUUCUGUUGUGUUAUACAUUCACAUCAGAAUAACAAAUGUCAGCUGAACACUAGGAUUGAUGUCCUCUCAUCUACACAUAGGAUUAUCUGCCAUUUGAGAGAAGGUAUAAACUCUUAGAGUGAACAAUAAAAGCCAAGAUCUGCAUUACUGAAGUUUAUUCUGGCUCUGAGCACAAGUUCCAGUGAAAUCAAUUUUUUCUUCCCUUUUGAUUAUGCUGAGUGUUUGUGUUGGCACAGCCUUAGGCAAUGGCUAAAACUGAGGUUCAGUCAUAAUGUAAAGAAAGCCACAGAAAAUGACUACUUAGAAAUGCCAGCAGUGGACUGCUGAGCCCUAACAGACAUAUGCUCCAUUUGGGCUUUUCCUGCUCUUUUCCUGUCCUUCAUCUAAUAGGUUUCCAUACCCCAUUAACUUUUAAAACUUGCUUGUGAAGGGUGGAAGGAAUAGAGUAAUUGAAAGUAAUUGAAAUCUCAUCCUUAUGCCCAACCCUUAAGAGAACUCCAUUGCACAAGUCACGUUAUUUGGAAAUGUCAGUGCUUUGGAAACUAGGUUUUAAUCCUAAGAGCAAACAUAAAUUAACUGUAUCUUCCCAAGUUCUACUAAAUAUAGUAGAAACAUCCCCAGGGAUGCAGCAAGACCUACCACAGGGCUUCACUUAGCCCAACAGCUCAACAGAAAAAUGACUGCUAAAAGGAAAUACGCGAUUACUGUCUGUAGAAAAUAAAAUAAAUACAAAUUGAGCUGCCAAGUUUUUCAGGUGACCAUUGGAACACAGCAGAGAUUGUGAUAAAAUGGCUGUGGUCGAGAUAGUUUAGAAGAAAUCUCCCACUGCAGUAAACAAGGGGAAUACUUGAGGGAAAUCAUCAAUAAUGAUAAUAAAGCAGAACAAAACAAAUACUGUGCUACAAGCAAACACAACACUAAGUCAUCCAGAAGGUCCUAGCCCCGUUCUAACAGAAGAAGCAGGAAAAAAAAAAAAGAGUAAACCGUGGAUCUGCCUGUUUCUAAAAGCACAGCUACUGUAUUGUCUCAGCAGAAAGCAGAAUUGAUCACACUCCAUGCCCUGUGUAUUGCUAGAAACCUGUCAGGCUCUGCCUUAACGACAAUCUGAGUAACUUAUACGUAUUCUUUCAGUACCACAGCCACCCGAGAGCAGACAUAUGGUGAAAGAGAGCCGGGCUCCCGGAGGACGGCUGUGCCGGAGGAGGGCACGGGCUGCAGAACGAGGCGGCCCAACGGCCCCCAACGCCCGCAGAUUCGGCAGCGGGAGCGCAGCCGCACCGCUCGGGACACACGAGCCGCCACCCACGGAGCCGGGCUGCGGUAACUUUGGACCGCUGUCCCGUGG